CAAAUAGGAUGACUUGGGAGGGACUUGCGCUUCGGGCCGAGGGGAUAAAAUGCUCCUGAAAUCUACUUUUGCUAGCCACCCCACUCUCGCAAGAACGUAUUUUACAAUAGAACUGCUUGCUGCUUCACUUAAUCACCCUGUCUGACUAGGGAAGGCAUUUCUCACAAGUUUGGUGGGGGCUCCUCCGGGAUUUUAAAAGUCACCGUGGGGAGAGGGGGGCCAAUCCCCCCUCCCCUUCUGCCAGGGGUCGUCCAUUUCCUCUGACUGACUGAGAUCCCAGGAUACGGUCGUACUAGUGAUUCAACAUCAACCAAGAGGGGAGUAGGAGAAAAUAAGUGGGCACCCCAGCCAGCAACCAGGCGUACGUGGACCACAGUAAGAAAAAUUGGACAAAUAAAUGACGUUUUGCUCCAUGGCCACCAUUAAGAUUUUGCAGCCUACACAGCAUCCAGCCUGGAGAAUGGAUCCUUAUUCACUCCUGGAGACAAUCCAAACUACAUCCUGGAGGGGAAGGCCCUUUCCAAGGGCUUCUGCUGACCCCUGAGGCAGCUGUUGGGACUGCUGGAAAAAGGCUGGACUCCUUACACCAGACUGAAGGGACCGGACGGAGCUCCACAAGCAGAAAAGUGGACACUACAGCUUUCCGGUGACUCCCGUCUCCUGAGAGAAUAAAAUAAUAUGUUUGCUUUUAGGGUACAGGAGGACCCAUGGCAAGAAGAUAACUUUAUCUGGACUUUUUAACCUACAGGUGGUUUGUUCUCGGGCCACAGUUUACUGAAUGGCCAUAUGGGUUAAGCAUAAUGGCAUCGAGGGAUUUGGUCCUUGGUUUAAAUAAAUAUCCUAUUUGGUACUAGAAAUAUAGAACAAGGUAGGCUUUUUCAGGAGGCAACUGGACUUUCUUGAUUUUUUUUUUUCCUUUUGAAGACGUUUCACUUCUCAUCCCGGAAGCUUCUUUGGCUCAGACAGGAUGGUGGGGAACGGAAGGAUUUAUAUUGGGAGGAACCCCCUUUGAACGGUGUGGGAAUAAGGAAUGGAUUUCCAGAGGAAAAAAUUGCAAAUUUCAAGAACCAGGUGACUCUGAGGACACAGACAAACCUCCAAGCGGCCUCAACGACCGUCGAAAAGGAUGCAAAUGACCAGCUUUGUCUGCAAGGAGUAUAAAACCCUUCCAUUCCCCACCAUCCAGUCAGAGCUGAAGAAGCUUCUUGGAGGAGAAGCGAAACGUCUUCAAAGGAAAAAAAAAAAAACAAAAUCCAAGAAAGUCCAGUUGCCUCCUGAAAAAGCCCCUUUGGGACCUUGGGUGGAGAAGAAAGUUGGCAGUGGGUAGAACAAGGCUAGGGCAAGACUGUAAGGAAGUGGGAAGGCCAUUUCUAUUUUCAACAGCAUCAAGAUUUUCCUGAGAGGUUCUGGUUAUUUAGAUUAGGGGAGGGAAAAUAAACCUGAACUAUUCUCUGCUCAAAUAACAGAAAAACAAAUAAUUUCAGCUGAAGGAAAACUAUUGGACAAAAAAAAAAAAAAAAGGCACUCCAUUACAUUGCCCCAAAAUCUCUCCCUUACAGGGCUAAAAUUUAGUACCUGGUGGUAUUCUAUGUGGUGUUUGUGAUACAAGGGAAUAGGGAACGGGGGUUACGACUGGAAGUUUUUAUUUGCUCAAAACUUCCAUAAACCUGGCACUCUUAAAAUAACAGUUAGAAGGGACCUUGGAGGUCUUCUAGUCCAACCCCCUGCUCAGGCAGGAAACCCUGCACCACUUCAGACAAAUGGUUAUCCAACAUCUUCUUUAAAAACUUCCAGUGUCGGAGCAUUUACAACUUCUGGUGGCAAGUCGUUCCACUGGUUAAAUUUACUAUUGGAAUUAACUACAGAGCCUCAGGUGACCAAAUUCGAUGGAGGCCAUUUAAUAAAUUGUGGGGAUUUGAGCAAUCAAAAGACAAGGAAAUAUGUGGAAAAAAUAUAAGCGUGCAAAAUGUAUUUUUUUCCCCUUUGGGGAAAUGUAUGGUGGACAACAGAGGCUAAAGGAUGGAUUUCUUAUCCUAACUCAGGAAUAGCAGAGUUUAAGUCUAAUUCUAUUCUUAUUCCAUCUACUCUAUUCUACUCUACUCUACUCUACUCUACUCUACUCUACUCUACUCUACUCUACUCUACUGACCAGAUGUUAAAUAAAACAUUUCCUUGCUUAGGAAACCCUCUGCACCACAGUGUGGGGAGCAAGCAUGCAAUAUAAAUCAGCCUUGACUGUAAAGAGUGUGAAGCAAAUCAAUAACACUCUGUAUAGUAUGGGGAUCGAUACAGCAGGAAAACUUCCUUUGGGGGGUUGUUUCAGGAUUGUGGUGGUUAAAGCCAAAGGGAUGACUAAAAGCCAAAUGCUGAAGAUUUAAGGAUACCAGAGCAGCGACUAUAGUGGAAAUAGACAACUCGAGACAAACUUUUUUGAAACCGAAACUGGGUACGUAAAUACAAAUGCCUGGGUAAAAUGAGUGAAAUGUAUGGUAAAAAAAAAAAACCCAGAGGUUUAAAUAAAAGCAAUUGCUAUAAAUGUGGCCCUGGUGGUCCCCUUUCCCCUUGGAUGGGCCCCAGUUGGUAUGACGCGUAUAUUAUUGGCUCUUUAUUAACAUGGAACGGCCUGGGGAAAUGAGAGUGGUAGUAGAUCUGUUCCUCUCCUGUUUCCACCAGUAAAAGGCCGGGAUGUUAUUGAAACCACACUUGUGUUCUCUGCAGCCUUUUUGGAAACCACACUGCAUGCCUUACCAGGCGAGGUAUGGAUUCUGCCAAGAGGGGAGGAGAACUGGAAACCUGUAGAUGUAACCACCGCAGCUGAAAGGAGGAAUGGCUCCAGACGGAGCAUUCCUAGAGCUGACUUGUGGUAGUAUUGUGGGGGUAAGAUACUAAGGCGUGUACUUCCCCCAAAUUGGACAGGGACCUGUGCAACUGUCCAAUUGGCUAUCCCACUUACCCUGGCAUUUGAAGAGAAAAAAAAAAGAUAUGGUAAUAAAGGAACAUAAAUAGAAUAAAAAGAGAUGUUUCAGGAACCUCCUUAGAGGAUGGAGUGUACCUGGAUGUCGAUGGGGUCCCUAGAGAAGACCCUGAUGAAUAUAAAGCCCGAAAGCAGAUCGCUGCUGGGGUUGAAUCAUUAUUUUGGUUUAAGCAAAAGGAAAUUGUUGUGGUUUCCAAAAUAAAUGCUUAUAUGUGCCGGGUGGAAAAGUCACUGCUGAUAUGAUAUUAGAUAAGCAGCUGACAGAAACCACAAGUAGAGGAAACACAAAGAGAAAAUAGAGCAAAAAGUAGGUUAUGCUUAAAACUCUGAAACUGAAAAAUGUGCACAGGUGUUGGGGUAUAUUGUCUAUUUCCACUAUAGUCACUGCUUUUGGGGGGGGGAAAUAGGUACCAUAUAAAGGAGAUGAUUUUGAUAGAAUUGCUGUGCCAGCAAAAGGGGGAGGCGAGCAAAGCUUGUGUAAGGGGAUAGAAAGCUGAUGCAUGCUUCAUUGUGGGUCCACCUUGUGUGCGCCCGGUGUUUGCAACUACGUGAAUAAUCUCUCUGCUGUUUCCAAGUUAUUGUCUCGUGUAGUUCCAUUGGCAAACCGGUACUGUUUCUAACAACUAUAAAUAAGAAUAUAGAUGGGAUCAAUUCUAUCUACUGUAACCAACAGAGAUUUACCAAUUACACAAAGCAAAGCAAAACAAAACAAAAAUUAAUUAGCAAAACAAUUAGAACGCCCCCACCAGAUAUUGUUUUCGGUUGUUACAUAACAUUUUGGCUUUCUCACAUGUUCCACCCUGCAGUUCCCCUCCAAAAGUACUCUCUAAAAAUGUAUUCAUAAUUGUUUGUUAUUGUUCUUAUUAACUGGACACUUAGUCUUUUCCUCCUUUUUCAAUGGAGUUUGGGUCAGCCUGACCCAACUUGGAAUGAACUAAAACUUCUAUUUCCUCAAAACAGGCGUCACGGAUCCUACUCAGAAUAAUGUGAUUACUCAUAUCCGAUUCUGAUUAAUGUUGGAGGGGCUAACUCAGGUUAUAUGAAGUUUAAAUAAUGGAGUUACUUAGGUUAUAUUUUUUACAGAAAUAAUUCAUUUUUCUCUCACAAAGGAUGCUGUGAAGGGCAUAGCUGCACAAUUUGAUGCUACCAGUAGAAUAUGCCAACUGGGGAAAACAGAAUGGCUCUAGGCCUGAUAUUGGUAGGGAAGGAGGAGUGUGCAUGUGUAAUGCUGGGAGGCAGCUUUUAUUUUAUUCCAAAUAACACCUGAUGGAACAAUCACCAGGUCCUUACAAGGUCCCACCACUCUGGAAGAAGAAUUGGCUUCAAAAACACAGCGACUUUAUAGGACGGGAUAGCGCCAAGGUGGGUGGGCAGGCCCAGCCGCUGUUCAGAACUACCUGUUUGCCCAGAACCAGUCCGAACCAGCAGCAGCCCACCUCUGGUUAUAUUAUAUUCUUUAUUUACUGGUUUAGAGUUAGUAUUUUAAAGUAUAGCCACAAUAUUACAUAGCUAACGCACAGCCACGAUUGACCGAUGCGUGACCCCUGGACAUACCAGCUCCUGGCUUGAGAUACGUACCAGGUACUGAAUUGUACAGAAAAACAAGAUAAGGGGAAUGCCAAGAAGACGAGAACUGAAAGGAGUUGAAAGGGAUGAGUGCUUAGCAACAUAAGUCUAACUAAUCUUACACGAUUAGGUAGAAUACUAUAUAAGAUAUAAUCUCCUAUAUAAGGUAGAGCACCGUGUAGCUUAUGAAAGACAUAUGAUACAUUUAUAUAAGGUAUAUCCUUUGUUUAAACUAUUUAGAGUUAGUACCUUAACAUAUAAGUCACCAUUUCCUGUAAAGGGCCUCUUUCUUUCCAAUUUCCUGGGAGGGGUCUCUCUUCCCCUCUUUUUCUCUCUGAUCAAGAGACCAGAACUGACAGGGAUGUAGAGCAAUUAAUCUGUUAUCAGAAACAAAGAAUAGUCAAGUCAGGCCUUGACCGGGGCAAGAACGCAUAUCCUCCUCUCUCAAAUGUUGUUUUUUGCUUAAUUAAGUUGCUCUCUCGAAUGUUGCUUUCUCUUAAUUUUUAACUAUGCUAUAAUUCUUGUGUAACAAGGUAACUAUUCAAAGGGGUGAGACAUGGGGGGACGGUUUUGAUUCCUUAGGAAGUUUGGGUAACCAUAAGGGCUUGACUAAUUUUAUACAUUUAGGGGUGAUAGUAGAUUAAUAGGCGGCCGGAAAGCAUGUGACUAAACCAGACCUAUUAACUGGGCCUGGCUAGGAAGGACCGGUGGCCGGUGAAAGGGAUGUAUAAAAUAUGCUGGGAUCUGUAACUCAGUGUGGGCUUCUGUCGCUGUGCCAAGCCCAAGUCCCACCAGCUCUUUGCAAACUGCUUUUCUUAAUAAAUCUUACUUCUGGUUGA